rnacentral:lncRNA from 1 species
UCCCACAACAAAACACCAAAUGGCCCACUUCCUCCGGAGCCCAAAACGGAGACGCCGUGGACUAAUCACACCGCCACGGAAAGUGUCAUGUCUCUCGUGCCAAGACGACAUGCCUGUGGUACCCCCACAGGUGGUUAUAGCUCAAGUAUACCCUACGGUAUAUUCUAACAAAAAUACCAUGUCACAACACAUGCGACAUAAUACCAACAAAAGGGUUCUAUAUG